rnacentral:rRNA from 1 species
CCUACGGGAGGCAGCAGUGAGGAAUAUUGGUCAAUGGACGAGAGUCUGAACCAGCCAAGUAGCGUGAAGGAUGACUGCCCUAUGGGUUGUAAACUUCUUUUAUAAAGGAAUAAAACGAGGCACGUGUGCCUUUUUGCAUGUACUUUAUGAAUAAGGAUCGGCUAACUCCGUGCCAGCAGCCGCGGUAAUACGGAGGAUCCGAGCGUUAUCCGGAUUUAUUGGGUUUAAAGGGUGCGUAGAUGGGUUGUUAAGUCAGUUGUGAAAGGUUGCGGCUCAACCGUAACAUUGCAGUUGAUACUGGCAGUCUUGAGUACAGUUGAGGUAGGCGGAAUUCGUGGUGUAGCGGUGAAAUGCUUAGAUAUCACGAAGAACCCCGAUUGCGAAGGCAGCUUACUAAACUGUGACUGACACUGAUGCUCGAAAGUGUGGGUAUCAAACAGGAUUAGAUACCCGAGUAGUC